rnacentral:rRNA from 1 species
CAAUAGCGUAUAUUAAAGUUGUUGCAGUUAAAACGCUCGUAGUCGGAAUUUGGCAGUUCCGGAAGUGUGCACGUCGUGUGCGCACUUUGCGGGGACUGCUUUUGUGGUCUUGCGUAGGAUGAGGCACUUUCAUUAGUGAACGUCCUCACGCAACCACUCUUUACUGUGAGAAAAUCAGAGUGCUCAAAGCAGGCAUUUGCCGUGAAUGUAUUAGCAUGGAAUAAUAGAAUAGGACUCGGUUCUAUUUUGUUGGUUUGUUGGGACUGAGUAAUGAUUAAGAGGGACAGUUGGGGGCAUUUGUAUUCCGGCGCUAGAGGUGAAAUUCUUAGAUUGCCGGAAGACAAACUGCUGCGAAAGCGUCUGCCAAGGAUGUUUUCAUUGA